CAGAUUUGUUUCAAUUAAUAUAAAAAGAAGAUGUGGUAUGAUUGCCAAUGAGACAACUCUCUAUAAGAGACCAAAUCUCACAUAAAUUAACAUCAUAAGUCACCGUACGGCCUACAACAAUUAGCAAAGCCCGUACCACAUAGUCAGCUAUAAAAGGCCCCGAAAAGACAAAUGUUAAACAAAUCAAGCGAGAAAACUUACGGUCUAAUUUAUGUACAAAACAUUAACGAAUAACAAAUUUGUCACACAUCAACAAACGACAACCACUGAAAUACAGGCUCCUGACUUGGGACAGACACAUACAUACAUAAUGUUGCAGGGGUGAACAUGUCAGCGGGAUCACAACC
rnacentral:lncRNA from 1 species